rnacentral:lncRNA from 1 species
CAAAUAGUGAGUGGAACAUAUAUUUUUGCUUUUUCUUUAGUCUUAUUCUACCCGCAGUAACAGAAGUACUGCUGUGUGUUUUUAUGUUUUUUUACCUAGUCCUUACUAUGUUUGUCUACGACUAUUUUUUUGCUUCUCUAUGGUUUCUUGGGGGACUGAACACCAUUGUAGCUUUCUUUAGAGGAGAAAAGCCACGACGAAACAUUAUUUGUGUUUUUGUUUCACUCUUUUUUUGCAGGACUCACCUACAAAAAUAUCAAAGCUAUACAUGGAAGGCCCUAAUAAGAAAACUACAGCAGCUACUCUCCGGGUAAUCCCCAUACCAUGCACUAGUAGAUUUACUAUCUAGAGAGGAACCAACCGUGUGUGAUUUUACCCUUUUUUUGCACAUAGUUGAUUAAUGCCAGCAUUGGACUUGCUUUGAAAACAGCUGACCUAGAUGUUGGUGCUUUUUAAAAAAGCUAAAUUCUACCACCACAGCCAGUGUACAAAACAAAUUAAAUUUCAGAGUUGCUUCUAACCCUUCUUUUUUCACCCUUAACACAUGAGUUUGCUUGCUCUUAACAUUGUUUUUGCUCAAAACAAUCCUAGAACUUGCUUCUGCUUUCUAGAGUUGCUAAAUGAUAGCACUGGAUUUUGCUUAAAAACAGCCAGUGUACAAAGCAAAUUAAAAUUCAGAGUUGUGUUUACCCCCCUUUUUUUUGCACCCUUACAUAUGAGCACACAUGAGAGUUGCUUGCUUUUACCACUGUGUUUGCUUAAAACAACCAUAAAAGUUCCUGCUCCUUUAUGUUUUCCAGCACACUUGUUUACUAGUCCAAAAGCAAGCCUAAACACACAACAACCAGUACUUAUAAACAAAAGAGAAAGGCAAGCAUGCAUUCCGUUUUUUCAUCCCCUGCCAAGAGUUACUUGCUGUCAAUACAUGUUUUGUUUAAAGAAUGCACUGUAGUACUCACUUUUCACUUUUUUGUCGUUUCUUCUAUGCAACAGGUGUAGUACAAAAAAAGACGAU